CGAAGCUUUAGAUGAAUCUGCCAAAUGUCAUAGUAACAACACCAUACGAUAACCAAGUGCAUUUAACAAUCGAUACGGAUUGGCCUAAUGCCACUCCAUUACAUCCAUAACCUUAUAAUCCAUUCAACAUAUUCUGAUCCAGCAACAUUCAAAAAAGUUUGUUUAAAAUUUGAUCAUCUUUCAAUCGUGGAUCCUUAGUAGCUGUAGUUCUUCACGAACAUGCCUUCUUUAGCGUCCGCAGACUCUCCCUCACCUGUGUACUUCCCAAGUUGAGCUAGGGAAUUUGCCUUUGCUCGCACCAGGAGAGUGUCUUGAGCAGCCUUCACAUUUUCUGGCCUGCCUCCCCAUGUCUUCAGGCAGGUGUUUUGCAGAGCUCUCGCAUAGGAAAACGAAACAUGCCACGGGUUGGGGCUCUGGUUCAUGGCAUUCAAGUUCAAUGUUGCCUCGACUUCAGAUUGGCCACCGGACAGGAACAUGAUGCCAGGAACAGCAGGUGGGAUUCUCCUCUUUAGAAGCUUCAAGGUGUAGUCAGCAACUUGCUCGGGUGUAGCUCUUUCUUUGCAUUCCGCACCUGGCGUGACCAUGCUUGGCUUGAGUAGGAUCCCCUCGAACAAAACAUUGUUCUCGGCCAAGUAGAAGAAGACCUCUGCCCAUACUUUUUGCGCAACCUCAAAGUUCCUCUCAAUCCCGUGCUCUCCAUCAAGCAGUAUUUCAGGCUCUACAAUUGGAACCAAUCCACUUUCUUGUGAGGUGGCAGCAUAGCGAGCGAGGCCCCAGGCAGCUUCCUUCACUGCUAGAGCAGAUGGUCCAUUCGGGAUACUGAUGACUGUACGCCAUUUGGCAAAGCGAGCGCCUUGUUGAUAGUAGGCAGCGGUUCGGGAUGCUAGGCCAUCGAGUCCUUGGCACCAUGAUUCAUCGUUUGAGCCAGCGAGUGGUACAAGACCCUUGUCGACCUUGAUCCCGGGAACUAUGUUCUGCUCGAUAAGAAUAUCGACUAUCUUCUUCCCGUCCACGGUUGAUUGGUAAAGAGUUUCCUCGAA
rnacentral:misc_RNA from 1 species